UACGUAGGUGGCAAGCGUUGUCCGGAAUUAUUGGGCGUAAAGCGCACGUAGGCGGAUCUUUAAGUCAGGGGUGAAAUCCCGAGGCUCAACCUCGGAACUGCCUUUGAUACUGGGGAUAUCGAGUCCGGGAGAGGUGAGUGGAACUGCGAGUGUAGAGGUGAAAUUCGUAGAUAUUGGGAAGAACACCGGUGGCGAAGGCGGCCAUCUGGACCGGUUCUGACGCUGAGGCGCGAAAGCGUGGGGAGCAAACAGG
rnacentral:rRNA from 1 species